rnacentral:misc_RNA from 1 species
UUUUCGUAGGUGAACCUGCGGAAGGAUCAUUAGUGAAUUCUGGGAGUCCCUCCUAACCGGAGAAGGCCCACUUACACUUAUUCUCACACACUGUGCAUCUGUCACCUUUUUCAACCCUACCAUUUUUAACACUUGGUGCAUUACAAAAAGUGAUUGGAUUUACAAACGAAAGUUGAUUAUUAUAAGAAAACUUUCAGCAAUGGAUCUCUUGGCUCUCGCAUCGAUGAAGAACGCAGC